rnacentral:misc_RNA from 1 species
GGUGAGAACGUAGCGAAAUGCGAUAAGUAAUGUGAAUUGCAGAAUUCAGUGAAUCAUCGAAUCUUUGAACGCACAUUGCGCCCGCCAGUAUUCUGGCGGGCAUGCCUGUUCGAGCGUCAUUUCAACCAUCAAGCCCUGCUUGCGUUGGGGUCCUGCGGCUGCCCGCAGGCCCUGAAAACCAGUGGCGGGCUCGCUAGUCACACCGAGCGCAGUAAUACAUCUCGCUUUGGGCGUGCGGCGGGUUCUUGCCGUUAAACACCCCCUUUUUACCAAGGUUGACCUCGGAUCAGGUAGGAAUACCCGCUGAACUUAAGCAUAUCAAUAAGCGGAGGA